AUUAAGCCGUAUUUUUAUUAUGUUUUUUUAUUAUUUUUUAUUUAUUUUUAUUUUGGGUUUGAAUCAAGCAAAUUAAAUAAAUAAAUAUCACAGGGGGUGCAGAAAGUAUGCAAAGGGGUGCUGGUAGCAGGUAACAAAAAAAAGGGAAUCCGUCUCUGCCGUCUGAUCAAUCAGACGGUCUUGAUGAGACUUUGUUGAGGGACGUUUGUGGCCGCUUGAUGACGAUCAACGGCCUGAGAUAAGUAUGCUACGGUGGGCGCGCGACACUGGAUCGGAGCACUAUAAAUACAAAAAUUUACCGAUUUUCCUCCAUUCUUAACAGUUUUUUCUCUAUUCUCUCCACCUCUUCUUCUCUCUCGGUCUCUCUCUCACUCUAUAUUUUUUUUAAUUCUCCAAUCAAGUUUUCUCUAUUAAGCUAACAACAAUCAAUACAAAAACCUCUAUUUUUAAAUCAACACAAAGGCAUGAAAGCAAAAUAAUGUGAAAAGGAGGGAAGAAUGGUUACCGGCGGCGAGGGAAGACAAACGCGGGGCGAACGGCGGCGGAGCGAGGGAGGUCUGGCGAGACAGAGGAAGGUCCAGCGGAGAGCGCGAAUGGUCUGACGGCGGUAGACNNNNNNNNNNNNNNNNNNNNNNNNNNCGAGACAGAGGAAGGUCCAGCGGAGAGCGCGAAUGGUCUGACGGCGGUGCGUAGACAGUGCGGUGGUUAUCCGGCGGAUAUAGCGGCGAAUCGCUCCUCACUUUUUCUCGUUCUGCUUCUUUUACGUUCUUUCUCUGCUACUGUUAUUGUUUGAUUGAUGACUAUGAAGGGUGAUUUUUUAUGAUUGAAGGUUUUUGGCAGUGAUGGUGAUAUGUUGGUGAUGAUGGUGUUGAUGGAUGGUGGAGAAGGCGCAGUAACAGUGCUGCGGCUGUUGUUAUUAUUUUUGUGUGUAUUUUCUCUAUUUUCCUCCUCUUUUGCGUGUAAUCCCCCACCCUUUUGUGUUGAAUGAUUGCUAUUUAUAAGCAAAUGGAUUCUAGUUUACAAUUAUGACUAUGAUCAAUCACUCAAGGAAUGAGAUUAUGACUCUUCAAUUUGAUUUUAUGAGUGAAUGAGAAAUUUCCACUUUUGUUUGAUUCAGUAUCAUCCCUUUUUUAAUGUGCUUCAAUGUACAUGAAGAAUGGAGAAAAACUUCAUUUUCUUGUGUCCAGCUUUCAUUCUUAUCGUGAUGUUCCUCUCUUUUUUCUUUUGUUUUCUUU
rnacentral:lncRNA from 1 species